UAGGGAAUAUUAGAAAUGGACGAAAGUCUGAUCUAGCAACACCGCGUGUGCGAUGAAGGCCUUCGGGUUGUAAAGCACUUUUUGGAAGGAUUAGGAAGGAAUGUACUUCCAGAAUAAGUCUCGGCUAACUACGUGCCAGCAGCCGCGGUAACACGUAGGAGGCGAACGUUAUCCGGAUUUACUGGGCGUAAAGCGCGUGUAGGUGGUUCUGUAAGUAGGGCGUGAAAGCUCCUGGCUCAACUGGGAGAGGCCGUUCUAAACUGCAGAGCUAGAGGAUGGUAGAGGGAGGUGGAAUUCCGGGUGUAGCGGUGGAAUGCGCAGAUAUCCGGAGGAACACCAGUGGCGAAGGCGGCCUCCUGGACCAUUCCUGACACUCAGACGCGAAAGC
rnacentral:rRNA from 1 species